UACGGAGGGUGCAAGCGUUAUCCGGAUUUACUGGGUUUAAAGGGUGCGCAGGCGGAUAUGUAAGUCAGUGGUGAAAUCUCCGGGCUUAACCCGGAAACUGCCGUUGAUACUAUAUAUCUUGAAUGCUGUGGAGGUAAGCAGAAUAUGUCAUGUAGCGGUGAAAUGCUUAGAGAUGACAUAGAAUACCUAUUGCGAAGGCAGCUUACUACGCAGAUAUUGACGCUCAAGCACGAAAGCGUGGGGAUCAAACAGG
rnacentral:rRNA from 1 species